ensembl:lncRNA
CAGGGAGCCUGCACUGCCUUGUCCACCCAUUAGGGUCUCUCGCACUCAGGUUGCAGUUUUUGGCUAUCUGGAUGACAAAGAUCAUUUGCAUAAGUUUUCUUAACGAAGGACAGAGCACUGUGCCUCAGCGUGGAUCAGCAAAGAAAGUCUGAUGAUUCAACAUGUAGUCGGUUGCUCUCACGUUCACACCAAAGGUACCGAACUUAUAUGGAAGACCCUAAGUGGUAAGACCCAUGCCUACUGGAAAUGGAAUCUUCUGCUUCUGGGAACAACUCUGCUCCACAAACAGGAUGCAAUUGUCACUGCGGUUGGAAGCCAAUCAACGCGUUGUGAGUGGGAGCCCGCUGGUACUUUCCAAUGGUCCUUGAUUAAAAAGGAAGCUCUUGGCUAUCUUCAAGCAGCAGGAGAGGAAACAGCAUGGAGAAGAUACUCAGAUGCAGCGGAAUUCAAGCAUGAAACUAAACAGCUUCUCAGAUAUUAUCUAUUCAGCCAUCUGCUUGACAGACAAUGGAUAACCUUCCAGAUUCAUGGAGCUGCAUCUGCCUUUUAAUCCAGUGGUAGUCUCCAUGGAAAUAAACAGGAGGCAUUACUUUUGGAGCAACCCAUGUAUAUGUGGCCCAGAACCAUUCCUCUUCACUCAAUACAGCUCAGACAAGCCAAAAGGUUGGAUAGCCAUGCUCUAAGGCUUCUGCGUAUCCAGAAGAGACUGCAGGGACUUCAAGUGAUCUUCGCCUCCUGCUGAACCAGAUAGGUAAAAAGGGAAAAGGUUAUAUUCUGAUAUCAUCAGGAGCAAUAUUGGGCAACUUAGGACCUCCUAUAUUUGGCCUAUGACUUUUGCAGGAAGAUCUCCAUCCUCCUCCAACAAGAAGUACACUGCCAUCCCUCCUAAAUCCAGGACUCGCAUCAAAGACAGACUGAUGGGAUACUGUUGUGACAAGAGGAGAGGACAGGAUUGCCCACUGGAUGAGGAGUUGUGGAGCAGUACUCAAGGAAAUCCCAUCGAUCAGACCGAUUCAGCAGAGACUUUGCCUUGCAGCCAUCAGACAUACCAACUCUGGCCUCCCCACUGCAAAACCCAACUUGGAUACAGGGAGGAAGCAUUGCUGCCUGGCAUGCUUUUGCAGAGUAUAAUUAGGAGCAUGCAAAGGAAGCUCGUCAAAGGAUACCUUCUCCACCAGGUACCUUCAGCCACAGAUGCGCAGCGGGGCACCUGCUUGGCAGGACGGGGAGCUUGGAGGGCAAAGGCAUGCAGCACAUGGAUGUUUUCCUGCCCCUGUUUCACCAAGAACUGCUGCAAUGGCUGACUGAUAAUCCUGUGGCGAAAAUUUGAAGAUGUGUUUUCUUCUGGUUUGGAACAUCUCCCAUCUAUUUGCAAGAUCUGCUCAUGAACUAUAAAUUCCUCCCCGCUCCCCAAAAUGCUAUUCCUGAGAACUCCAUUUCAAACACAAUUUAUGGCUUGGAUGAAAAACAGAGAUGUCUUUGAAUCGUUCUAUUUUUGCACGGCGUUUCAACAUGUGUUAGCAGCACUGGGCAACACAUAAUGGGACAUUGUAUGCUUACUGAGAUGCUGUGUCCCAGUGGAAAACAGUUCAGAUGAAGAUAUGCUGACCACGCCUGUAAUAACACACUUUGUCAAGCACUUUCAGAUCUCCUAGUGAAAAAUAUCACUUUAUAGAAGAUUGGUAUUAAUAACCAUAAUGAUUAUUUGGUUGUUCAGCUCCAAGAAGUUUCUGUAGUCCUCUUAACUCAGGAUUUAUUGCACUGUGAUUUAUGGGUCUCAGGAUUGGUUAUAAAUACCGUCUAGCCGGUGAUUCUUCCACAUCUGUGCAACACAUCUGAGCCAGGGAGCAGUUCUCAGAGUUCUGAUUAACUACCCCUCAGCAGACCGUGAAGCCAAACCUUUUAAAGUUUUAAAGAAAAGGAAUUCAAACGGAUUUUCUGGAUUUGGGCUCAUCAUUUGAGCCUGCCUAAGACAACCCGUGUGAAGGGCAGUACAGAAGGAUAGCUGGUGGGAUUGGUUUCGCCAGCUGAGAUCUCAGCUGUCACUUGCGGCACCUGGGAAGAGUAAUCAGCUUGGGGCACAUUUCCUGGCUUGUCUGAGUGGUUCUCACGGACAUCUUUUAACCAUUCCAUACCAAGAGUAGAUUUUGUCUCCAGAUGCUUUUCACAGUUGGCCGUCACAAGGAAGUUAAAUAUUGGCUGAGGUCGUAGUGCCCUGCAGGAACCAUUUUGGGGGCUAUCUAUGCUUAUUGGGCUCGGCUCCACGAGUUACUAGGCUCUUCUAGGCUGGAACAAAUUGAAUAUAAUAAAGACAACGCAGAUGGAUGGCUGACUUGUGUUUACAGCUGUAGGGAGUUUUCUUAUUCUAUUAAGUUUUCAGCUGAAGUUUUGUCUGAGUCAAACUUAAGAUGUGAGUGAAUCAAGAUAGGGCUUCAACUCCGGAUUGAAACUUGUAUCUGGAAAUUGGAGUCAAGCCCCCUGUGAUCCUGGGUGCACUCUUCAAGUGAGGUAGACUUC